rnacentral:tRNA from 1 species
CAGUCAGGAUGGCCGAGUGGUCUAAGGCGCCAGACUCAAGUUCUGGUCUUCGAGAGAGGGCGUGGGUUCAAAUCCCACUUCUGACAA